rnacentral:rRNA from 1 species
GACGAACGCUGGCGGCGCGCCUAACACAUGCAAGUCGAACGGAGUCAAGAGGAGCUUGCUUUUCUUGACUUAGUGGCGAACGGGUGAGUAACGCGUGAGUAACCUGCCCUGGAGUGGGGGACAACAGUUGGAAACGACUGCUAAUACCGCAUAAGCCCACGGAUCCGCAUGGAUCUGCGGGAAAAGGAUUUAUUCGCUUCAGGAUGGACUCGCGUCCAAUUAGCUAGUUGGUGAGGUAACGGCCCACCAAGGCGGCGAUUGGUAGCCGGACUGAGAGGUUGAGCGGCCACAUUGGGACUGGGACACGGCCCAGACUCCUACGGGAGGCAGCAGUGGGGGAUAUUGCACAAUGGGGGAAACCCUGAUGCAGCGACGCCGCGUGGAGGAAGAAGGUUUUCGGAUUGUAAACUCCUGUCGUUAGGGACGAUAAUGACGGUACCUAACAAGAAAGCCCCGGCUAACUACGUG